CUGCAACAGAUAAACAGUGUCUAGUGGGAGGUGCUGCUAUACUCCUAGUAGGGCCAAUCCCUAGCUGGCAUGGAGAGUGGCUUUCAAUAAGCAGUACUCACAAGAAACUGGUUCACCAUCAUGUCACCAUCAUGCGAGACCCAAGGUCACUCCAUAACAGAGCACAGGUGGAAUUGUGCACAUCCAGAGGCCAAUCUCAAUGCACAGUAAGUGAAAAUUUAGUCCUGAAGAAAGGUCUCGGCCUGAAACAUCGACUGCACCUCUUCCUAUAGAUGCUGCUUGGCCUGCUGCGUUCACCAGCAACUUUGAUAUUAUCUGAAGUCCGCUUGACAUUGGCUUGAACUGGAACGUAAACUACUAUCAAAAUGACCCCAGAGAACUCCCGUGUCCUGAAGAAAGGUCUUGGCCCGAAACAUUGACUGUUCAUUCCUUUCUGCAAAUGCUGCCUGACCUGCUGUAUUCCUCCAGCAUGUUCUGUGUGUUGCUCUGGAUUUCCAGCAUCUACAG